UAGACGCACGCACGCACGCACACGCAGCGGAGCACACCUCGAAUGCGGAUUCACACAUGAUCGCCACAGCCCUGCCUCUGCGAAGCGCCGAAGAAGAAUGUUCUCCCCGCGCGACUCGGCUGCAUCUUGUCCCACCUGAGCCUCACACUUCUCUUGUGGUUGAGUGACCUCACUGACAUUUGCACAAUUUUACAGGGUACAGUGCUGCAGGAAGCUGGAAUGGUGCACUAGCAGAUCUGGAAAGUUGACAAUACCCUGUGCGCAUGGCGGAAUCUGAAUCUUCUCGGGCUUGUUCGAUGAAAUCCUCUGAUUCCGAAGGUGCCGAAGCUUUUGGACCUUUAUAACAUGGUACCAGUCGAUGGGCUGGACCAUAGACAGGCCAACUGUGGAUGCAUUGGAGUUUUCUAGUAAAGUGGAUCGACGUGGGAGGGAAUGGAUAUGCCAAGUUUGGGCUCUGUCGUGAGAGCGAAAGCUAAAUGUCGAAGGGAUGUCAGUUCUAGCGUGUAUGGUGGAGGGUUGGGAGGGUUUUGGGCAUGGAAGAGAAAAGGGGGCAGUGCCGUUGGAUCGAAGGAGGGAAGAUAAGUGGCCCUUGGAUAGGGUUGAGGACUCCGCGCAACGGAGAGAUAUACUCGGGAUAUACAAUACGUGGCGCUCUUCACAGUUUGGCAAGUUCCCCAGGAAAGAAGCAAGAGAUCACCCGCGAAACAUCUCCCACUUGGGUUCGCUGAGCUACGAUCACCUAUUCUGAUUGCCGAGAGACCAUUGUUCUGUUCAUCGUGAGAUGGGUUAUGCAGCUGCUUCCAAGAAGCUGCCGUGUGCAUGGCAAUAUUGAGCACCCUGAGCUGUGUGUCGGUUGUCAACCAAUGAGGUCUGCCGAGGAGGUCUUUGUUCGAGGAAAAGUCAACUUGGGAAGAGCGCAAGAUCUAGGACAUCACCUAUUUUACUCAUCCUUCUUGACUCGCGUCGAAGUUUUCAGCCGUGGUGGAGUAGGUAUCCAGCAGUUACCUGGUACUCGAUGAACAGAAAAUUGAAAUGGCUCCUCCCACCAGAACAUCUAAUAAAUCCCAACCCCUUAACCUCUCGUAGUGCUCAAAAACGAUUUUGUGUUUUCUUUUUAUAAAAUAAAAAAUUGAAACCCUUAACCCUGCAAUUUAAGGACUCCCAUCAAUCGGUUGCCCAUAAAUGAGCUUCUCACAAAAUCUGAGGCAGCUACCCGACAUAUAUGUGUUUAAUAGACACGACUGACGGACGGAUGAAGUAAAAAGGUCAGAUUGCGAGCUCGGUACCUGUUCAGCGAAAUAGGAAGUUUUCGGUACUAGCCACAGCAAAAUGGUUGUUCUUAUUCCAGGAACAUUAAUCAAUAAAAUUCACCGAGAAAAAAGGAUUCUCGAUGAUUGGGAUUCA